UAUGGGAGGGGGCUUGCUCCCGAUGGCGGUCCUUCAGCCGAGCAUUUAUUGGCUGAUACUCCGCUAUCGGGAGCAAGCCCCCUCCCACA
rnacentral:misc_RNA from 1 species